GACGAACGCUGGCGGCGGGCCUAACACAUGCAAGUCGAACGGAAAGGCCCCUCUUGGGGUUCUCGACUGCGGAACGGGGGAGUAAAACGCCUGUAAACUUCCCUUGACUUCGGGGUAAACUUCGGAAACUGGGGCUAAUUCCGGCAAGGGAUCCUUGCUGCAUGGUGGGGGUUGGAAAGCUUUGGCGGUUUUGGAUGGACUUGCGGCUUAUUAGCUUGUUGGUGGGGUAGUGGCUUACCAAGGCUUUGACGGGUAGCUGGACUGAGAGGGUGACCGGCCACACUGGGUCUGAGGUGCGGCCCAGGCGCCUACGGGUGGCAGCAGUGGGGAAGAUUGCACAAUGGGCGGAGGCCUGGUGCAGCAGCGCCGCGGGCGGGAUGACGGCCUUCGGGUUGUGAACCGCUAUCAGCAGGGGAGAAUCUUGUGGUGACGGUACCUGCAGAAGAAGCACCGGCUAACUACGUG
rnacentral:rRNA from 1 species